UAGCUACUCCCUCCGUCCGAAAUUAUUUGUCACAAGAAUUAAUGAAUCUAGAUGUAAUUCAGUUAUACAUACAUCCAUUUCUAUCCAUUCUUGAGACAAGUAAUUCAGAACGGGGAAGUAUAUU
rnacentral:pre_miRNA from 2 species